CGCAGUCUAGUCAAAUUCAGUGCGUCCUCUUCCUCAGUGGGCUGUACUGGCCAAAUGGCUGCCACAGUGACCUCAUAGUCCAUGGGCCCCGUGUUUUAAUGGCGUGGAUACUGGGGAUAAAUAACGGCUAUGUACAAUA
ensembl:snoRNA Small nucleolar RNA SNORA5